rnacentral:misc_RNA from 1 species
GAUGAAGAACGCAGCGAAAUGCGAUACUUGGUGUGAAUUGCAGAAUCCCGUGAACCAUCGAGUCUUUGAACGCAAGUUGCGCCCGAAGCCACUAGGCCGAGGGCACGCCUGCCUGGGCGUCACACGCCGUUGCCCCCCCAUCUACUCCUUCGGGAUUGCGGGGGGGCGGAUGAUGGCCUCCCGUGCGCCUAGCCGCGCGGUUGGCAUAAAUACCAAGUCCUCGGCGACGCACGCCACGACAAUCGGUGGUUGCGAAACCUCGGUUGCCCGUCGUGUGCGUUCGUCGCGCAUCGAGGGCUCGAAAAAAUGCUCGGCUCCGGCUGGGCUUUCAACGCGACCCCAGGUCAGGCGGGGUUACCCGCUGAAUUUAAGCAUAUCAAUAAGCGGAAGGA